UUCAUUUUCUGGAAUACCCCUCUUCCCUUCCGCCAAGACAAAGGCGCCGCCCGCGCCGGCGCGCUCUACUCGCAUAGCUCUCUCGCUUCCGCCCCCGCCCGUCUCCCUCGACCUCGGUUCUCGAUCACACCGCAAGCGGCGAGUCCGAUUCACCCCCCAAGAACCUGUUCCUUGCUCUGAGGAGAUAGGAUGAAGAGGGUGCGCCGCUUCUUCAAUCUGAAAGAUUUGGGGAAGGGGAAAGAGAAGGACACCGCGGCCAGAACAGCAGUGUCAACAGGAUCAGAUGAUGAGCAUACAAGAUUCACACUGAAUGUGGAAACGUUUAGCUUCAAAGAGCUAUCUGAUGCAACCGCUAAAUUCAAUGAAAUCCUCCUGAUAGGCUCUGGAGGCUCAUCCAAAGUCUAUGAAGGCCACUUGCCCGGGAUUGGAAAGGUUGCUGUCAAGCGGUUGAGCUUUGCUAGAGUUUCUAGACAUACAGCUGCCCAUCUGCAAAGAGGGUUUCUUAGGGAGGUCUUUGUGCUCAAUUCAAUUAACCACCCUAACAUUGUGAGGCUAAUUGGUUGCUGUUCUGAGGAAAGUGAACGACUUCUUGUGUAUGAAUAUAUUUACUGGGGGUCUCUGCGUAAAAAUUUGACUGGAAAAAUGUGGCUCCAGAAGUAAAAAUGCAACCCCGUUCAUGUUAGCGUGAACCUGAGGAUGUAGUAUAUCACAGAAAAAUCUUUGGACUGGCAGAAAAGAAUGAAUAUUGCCCUUGGUGCAGCCAAGGCUCUGGAGAGACUCCAUCUCCAAGUCAAUCCAUCAAUCAUUCACAGGGACAUCAAAUCAGACAACAUUUUAUUAUGCUUGGACUUUGAGCCAAAGGUUUCUGAUUUUGGGUCUGCUAAAAUUGCCCCAGCUGGGGGCGCAGGAUCUGGACAGGUGGGAACAUUUGGAUAUAUGGCCCCAGAGGUUGCCUUUUGUAAAUCCCUGUCAAUCCGGUCAGAUAUUUACAGUUUUGGGGUUGUGCUCUUGGAGCUCAUUACUGGACGGAAAGCCAUGGAUAGUAAGAGACAAGACGAAGAACAGCAUCUAGCUUCUUGGAAGGCAAGUUUUGGAUCUUAUUGUGUUAUUUAAGAGCAAGUUUUGGAGUAGUGACUCGUUUGACUGUAUUUGGAAGUCCAACAAAUCUAUGGACAGUUUAAGGUUGAAACAUCAUUUCUGGAACUAAUGGAGAUAUAUAAACUGUUGGACAUGUUAGACAUGUAUGUGGUUUGUCUGUUACUUAUCUGAAGACAAACAAUACCGAAGAUAGCUAUUGGUACAUAUACUGUUCAUAUUUGGAAGAGUGCCACACCUGGUUGUGUACACAACUACACUUUGCAGCAAGUGUCUUAUCUAUAGGUCAUCAUUCACAAAUAACACUUUUGCAUGGAGCAGAAAGUUUAAAAGACCUGUCAGGAACUACUUGGAAGAGAGGCUUCAGCUCAUUUGGAAGCAUCACAAAUAUAUGGAUAGUCUAAAAUAAGAUCAUGCUUUACUUGUCGGAGAGGGUUAUUUGGUACCAGAUACUAUUAGCUAUUCAUCGUUUUGGAGAUGUGAUGCGCCCAGUUGUAAACCACUACACUUUGUCUCAAGUACCUGAUCUCAUUUCUCCUAGAUAAUCAUUUCACAAAUAACACCUUUGCAGGCUAGAUCCAAGUUAGAAAAUCCAGACAAUAUCAAGGAACUACUUGAUCCAAUGUUACCUGGCUGUGCACCCAAGUUUGAUGACCUCUACAAGGCUCUUGCUACCGCGUGGAUGUGCACUAUGACAAAUGAUGUUGAUCGACCUGAGAUUGGAGAAAUUGUUCAAACCCUUGGCAAUUUGGUCCACGGGUCUAGUGAUAAUAAAGGUUCCUCGUCGUCAACGGCAUGACUGCCAUGGAAUAUCAUUCAAGAAACAUGAGGCCGUGAUAUUCAGUUAGUACUGCAUGAUUCGGUCAAUCCAUCUUCAACCUCAUGUGGAAUAACACGAGGGGCAAAUGCAGAAGAGGAAGCAAAACCUCUCACCUGAUACACAUUUGUUCACUGAUUAGAGGCCACACGAGUUUUUUCUGUGGGUGACUUGUCCGUCUGAUCUUCUAACAACAUGAGAAAACACGAUUUGUACACUAUGGUUUGUUAAAAGGGCAUAUAAAACCUUGGCUGUGUAGCAAGUUGAUACUCUGGUAGAACAGAGAAUUCAUGUUCAACAUCUGCACUUGUGAUCAUAAGCAAAACCUAGAUUCCUGUUGUCAAAGUAGCCCUGGAAGCAUGUCAAUUGUGAGCAUAUUAUGUUACUUAGUGUUGGAUUUCAUAUAAUAUUUUUCACACUGAUGAUGAGCUUUGAUAUACCAAUUCUACAUUUAAGAGUUA